UCCUACGGGAGGCAGCAGUGGGGAAUCUUGCGCAAUGGGCGAAAGCCUGACGCAGCAACGCCGCGUGUGUGAUGAAGGUCUUCGGAUCGUAAAGCACUGUCGGGGAGGGACGAAUAAGGCGGCGGCUAACAUCCGCAGCUGAUGACGGUACCUCC
rnacentral:rRNA from 1 species